UUUCAUUGGUUCUACAUAAUCCAUAUCAACUUCAGGUUUUGGAGAAAGCGCUCCGUCUCUAAUCAGAGAAUACUUAAAAGGGUGUACUCAGUAGAUGAAGAAAUUUAUUUCUCAACAACUCCACAAAUCUUGGAACCUAGUGAUAAGAUAUUUUAUGGCCUCAACAAACUCGCAAAGGCUUCAAGUAGCCACAGCUGAAAUUUAAAUCCAAGUAAAUCUAAGCUCCUUCUCUUUUGUAAGAUACAGUAUAGAAACACCUUUGAGAAAUGUAUUCGAAUUAAUAAUGGUCAUCUAAUUACAUGAAAUGUAGUAAUGUGGCUAAAAAUCUUGAAUGUUAAAUUAAGCUUUAACGAGCAUAUUAUAUAAAGAAGACCUUUAUUAUAAACUAGUUUAUAGUCAGCAGCUCCUUAAUAAUAAAGAUCUGAGAAAAGUUUUA